rnacentral:rRNA from 1 species
AAAGGUAGAAUUUAAUUGUUAUUAUGUAAUGUAGAAUUAAGAUUGAAACUAAAAAGUCUAAUUAUAAACUAGGAUUAGAUACCCUAUUAUUUUAGGAAAAAAUAAAAAGCUAAAUUAGUAUUAGUUAUAUACUUUAAAAUUAAAAAAUUUGGCGGUGAUUUAAUCUUUUCAGAGGAAUUUGUUUUUUAAUCGAUAAUCCACGAAAAAUCUUACUUGAGUUUGUAUACCAUCAUUAUCAGAUAAUUCUAAAAAGAAAAAUUAUCGAAUAUAAUUGAUUAUAAAAAUUAGAUCAUGGUGCAGCUUAUAAACAAGUUAAAAUGAAUUACAAUAAAUUAUUUUAUAAAUGAAUUAAUAAUUAUGAAGGAGGAUUUGAUAGUAUAUAAUUUUAAUAAGUUUAUAAGACAAUGGCUCUAAAUCAUGUACAUAUCGCCCGUCGCUUUC